UCUCGUGACUGCGUGCCUUUUGAAGAAUGAGCCUGCGAGUUUGCGGUGUGUUGCGAGGUUAACCCGGGUGGGGAAGCCGUAGCGAAAGCGAGUCCGAAUAGGGCGAUUUUAGUAGCACGCUCAAGACCCGAAGCGGAGUGAUCUAGCCAUGGGCAGGUUGAAGCGGAGGUAAGACUUCGUGGAGGACCGAACCCACCAGGGUUGAAAACCUGGGGGAUGACCUGUGGUUAGGGGUGAAAGGCCAAUCAAACUCCGUGAUAGCUGGUUCUCCCCGAAAUGCAUUUAGGUGCAGCGUCGUGUGUUUCUUGCCGGAGGUAGAGCACUGGAUAGGCGAUGGGCCCUACCGGGUUACUGACCUUAGCCAAACUCCGAAUGCCGGUAAGUGAGAGCGCGGCAGUGAGACUGUGGGGGAUAAGCUCCAUGGUCGAGAGGGAAACAGCCCAGAGCAUCGACUAAGGCCCCUAAGCGUACGCUAAGUGGGAAAGGAUGUGGAGUCGCAGAGACAACCAGGAGGUUGGCUUAGAAGCAGCCACCCUUGAAAGAGUGCGUAAUAGCUCACUGGUCUAGUGAUUCCGCGCCGACAAUGUAGCGGGGCUCAAGCGUACCGCCGAAGUCGUGUCAUUGCAGCAU
rnacentral:rRNA from 1 species